GAUACCACAAAUAUUAUUCCUCAAUUCUUCUUGAGAUAUUUCACAAGAAAGAGGAAAGCCCUGAACAGAGGUUGUGGAAGCCAACCAUUUAUGACCCUUCUCCCCUACUUCAGAAGUGACACAAGUUGAACUGAUGGAGUUAUUUUUCUGUGAGGGGCUCUGAGAAGAUAGGGCAUGGUCUUGACUAGGCAAGGGUUGAGAUGGGGGA
rnacentral:misc_RNA from 1 species